GAUAUGCACAAUCUUACUUUUGUUCUAGGUGUGGACUUUUUCAGAGUGCUUGACUUCAUUCCUAGACAAAGGAGGGAAUCUCAAGCCUGUUCGGUAUACUAGGAGUUUUGCCAUUGAUUCAGGGAGCUCUGCAUCAAGCCAGUCAUUGAAUUGCAGUGAUCAAGGCUGGAAGUCAUCAGUGCACAUCUGUCGGCUGCCUAAUUACUCUCUGUGAGGUCCUAGAGUGUGAGAUAUUUCUAGUGGCCUGGAAGAGCCAGUAGAUUUCACAGAGAUUAAGGACGACAAGGAGAUCGACCUGGAGCACCUCCACAGGCGUGUGAACAGCCUCUGCACAGACGACGACAGUCCCCAUAAACAGUUCUCCACCUCAUCGAUUGACUUGACCCCACUGGACAUUGACACUUUACCCACACGCCAGGCACUGGAGCAAAUCAGUGACUUCAGAAACACUCACAUCACCACAACCACCUUCAUACCAGAACAGAUCCAGACUCUGAGCCGCACGCUGUCUGCUAAAGCUGCUUCGGGUUUCUCCUUCGGCAGUGUGCCCGAGCACCGAACUGGCCCGUUCAGGCACAGGGCACCCAAUGGGGGCUUUUUCAGAAGUCCCAUCAAAACAAUGUCAUCUAUCCCUUACCAACCAACCCCUACUCUGGGGCUGAAUAUUGUUAGUGACCCAGACCGAGGCACCUCCAUCUGAGCGUCAGACCAAGUUUCCUCACUGUUUCUUUUUUAGGACUCCCUUUGCGAGGAGCACCUGUAAUAUUGUGGGACUAACAUGGAUGUAACCUUUUUGCUUUUCCUUAGUUUUUUGUUUUGAGGGUUUUUUUAAUUUGUUUGUGGGUUAUUUUCUUUGGGGGGGGGUGUCCUUUUUUUUUUAAUUUUAUUUAAGAAUCAGGAUUGUUAGUAACAACUCUUCUCUGCUUUCUCAGUCUGGUCUCCUCUGUCUCUCCUUAUUCUCUUUAUUACUUGAAUUGCUUAUUCUUUCACCACGAUAGGUUUUGGUUACUUCAGGCUUCUCAUAUACUUUAAAUAUAGGAAACGUGCAGCAAACCAUGCAUAGAAAACUCCUGAUUACUUUACAGAAGGGCAUUCGCUCCUCCUCCCCCACUGCCUUUUUUUAAUAUAAUUGCAAUAACUUAAGUCCUUUUCGUGUAUUCUGCUGCAUCCAAUCAGUGCUCCACUGCUGUGUGUCCUUUUAACUGUGGACCAAAGGCAAACCCUGCAGUUUAAAA